rnacentral:rRNA from 1 species
AGCACGGACCAAGGAGUCCAACAUGUGCGCGAGUCUAAGGGUGGUCUAAACCCGGAGGCGAAAUGAAAGUGAGCUCCUUGUGGGCAGGCCGAUCCCCUGUCCUGGCCUGGGCCGUGUCGGAACUCCGUGAGUGAAUUUCCGGGGGGAAGGCGGUGGCUGGAGGCUGGGGCAGCAGCUGCGCCCUUGCGGUGCAGUUGAGGGGGCGCAGGCCGAGGACUUGCCGUAGUGCGGCGCGGGCAACGGGCUGGCUUCGGUCACCUUAUCCCGAGGUCCGCCGGCAAGUACCUGAGAGCGCAGCCGUUGGGACCCGAAAGAUGGUGAACUAUGCCUGGCGAGGACGAAGCCAGAGGAAACUCUGGUGGAGGUCCGAAGCAGUUCUGACGUGCAAAUCGAUUGUCAGAGCUGGGUAUAGGGGCGAAAGACUAAUCGAACCAUCUAGUAGCUGGUUCCCUCCGAAGUUUCCCUCAGGAUAGCUGGCGUUGGGAUGGGAUGAGUUUCAUCCGGUAAAGCGAAUGAUUAGAGGCCUUGGUGGUGCAAUGCCGUCAACCUAUUCUCAAACUUUAAAUGGGUGAGACGUAKAGCUUGCUUGAKACGUGAAGCUUUAUGUGAAUUGAAUCAGAA